rnacentral:rRNA from 1 species
GGGGGAAGGGGGACUUGCUCCCGCUGACGAGCGGCGGACGGGUGAGUAAUGCUUAGGAAACUGCCCAGUAGUGGGGGAUAGCCCGGGGAAACCCGGAUUAAUACCGCGUACGCCCUUCGGGGGAAAGCAGGGGAUCUUCGGACCUUGCGCUAUUGGAUGUGCCUAAGUCGGAUUAGCUAGUUGGUGGGGUAAAGGCCUACCAAGGCGACGAUCCGUAGCUGGUCUGAGAGGAUGAUCAGCCACAUCGGGACUGAGACACGGCCCGAACUCCUACGGGAGGCAGCAGUGGGGAAUAUUGGACAAUGGGGGCAACCCUGAUCCAGCCAUGCCGCGUGUGUGAAGAAGGCUUUCGGGUUGUAAAGCACUUUCAGUGAGGAGGAAAAGUUAGUCGUUAAUACCGGCUAGCCUUGACGUUACUCACAGAAGAAGCACCGGCUAACUCCGUGCCAGCAGCGGCCCGGUAAUA